GUCACGUUUGUAGGUACCAUGUUCUAGCUUUCAUGCGUACUGAGAUGUGUCCUUUCAAUGGUGCUGCUCUUUGGCAGAUUAAAAAUGGUUGCAGUCUCUCAUGAUUUGCCUGAUUCAACUGUUUGUGUAUGAAGGUCCUCUGUGUCUGUGUUUUAGACUACUACGGAGGAACUGAAUGAGAGGGUGAAUCUGCAGCAGAGCAGCCCGCAGGAACUACAGAGAGGUACCGUGAGAGAAAGCUGCUGGCAAGGGAAGGGCAGGCUGUGCAGGCAGCUGAGCAGGCACAUGAAGAGGAGCUUCGCCAGCUCAGACACUGGCACAGAGAGAACCGGCUGCGUCUGCCGGAGGACGACUGGGCUGCUCCAGGUGAGCUGGAUCACGGCGCUGACAUCACCAGCCCAGAGAGCCUGCAGCCUGGGCACGGUUCUGGACCUGAUGAGGGGCAGGAGGAGAGGAGAACAGGCUUUAUCACCAACGCUGAGAAAGAGAUCUGCUCCUCAGCCCUGGAGCAGGAUGGAACUGAGUCCUCUGUCGGUCUCGGCACCGGAAGGAUCUCCGUCUCGGUCAGCUGGAGUCGGAGAGCUGGGAGCGAGAGGGCGCGGGCGGGGGCAGAGCAGACAGAACGAGCAGCACUGGCGCUGCCUAGAGGCCUGCGUACACAACAGCACAAAGAGGGGCAAAAUGAGCUGAAAACAACGAUUGGUAUCCUUUUUAUUUCAUUAUAAAUGUUUACAACAUUUAAGACAUUUCCAGGAAUAAGAUGCCAGUCUGAGGCUCAGUAUUGUCAGUUAUUAUUACACAACCUGCUAAUUCUUCCUUCUGCCUUAUAAUUUUCUGGAAAUUAUUACUCUUCUGUAAGGUCUUCUUGUCCCUUCUGUUUUUCAUCUCUCCUCCUGUUAUUAUAUCUAUUUCCUUGGUUAUCUAAGGAAUGCCUGAGGCUGGUGUUGCACCUGAAGGGCCUGUGGAGGACGGUCGCCUGUCGCCGUGGGAACCUCUGGCCCUGGGCAGUGAGGCAGUGAGAGAAAGGGGCGACGGCCUGGUACAUCCUCAGGGGCCUCCAGGGCAGGGAAUCAGGGGCAGGGUGUCAGGGCUUUGAAGGGGUGCUGGGAUAAAUAAUGGAUCACAAAUGAAGAGGGUGGCAUGACUUCAAAGGGUUAAUAAAUCAGUGUAUAUUUUGUUUAAAUAGGUUAUGAGAAUAGUUCAGAAUGGUGUGAUUGCAUUUAAG
rnacentral:lncRNA from 1 species